rnacentral:rRNA from 1 species
AGUGAACGCUGGCGGCAGGCCUAAUACAUGCAAGUCGAACGGCAGCACAGUGGAGCUUGCUCCAUGGGUGGCGAGUGGCGGGACGGGUGAGGAAUACAUGGGAAUCUGCCCAGUCGUGGGGAUAACGUAUGGAAACGUACGCUAAUACCGCAUGCGCCCUUCGGGGGAAAGUCGGGGACCGCAAGGCCUGACGCGAUUGGAUGAGCCCAUGUUCGAUUAGCUAGUUGGCGGGUAACGGCCCACCAAGGCGACGAUCGAUAGCUGGUCUGAGAGGAUGAUCAGCCACACUGGAACUGAGACACGGUCCAGACUCCUACGGGAGCAGCAGUAGGGAAUAUUGGACAAUGGGCGCAAGCCUGAUCCAGCCAUGCCGCGUGAGUGAAGAAGGCCUCGGGUUGUAAAGCUCUUUGUUGGGUAAGAAAGC